AACGAACGUUAGCGGCGCGCCUAACACAUGCAAGUCGCACGAGAAAGGGCUUCGGCCCCGGUAAAGUGGCGCACGGGUGAGUAACACGUGGGUAACCUGCCCUCGAGCGGGGGAUAACAUUCCGAAAGGAGUGCUAAUACCGCAUAAGACCACGAUCUCGAAAGAGGACGAGGUAAAAGCUGGCCUCUGUAUACAAGCUAGCACUUGAGGAUGGGCCCGCGGCGCAUCAGGUAGUUGGUGAGGUAACGGCUAACCAAGCCGAAGACGCGUAGCUGGUCUGAGAGGAUGAUCAGCCACACUGGAACUGAGACACGGUCCAGACUCCUACGGGAGGCAGCAGUGGGGAAUCUUGCGCAAUGGGCGAAAGCCUGACGCAGCGACGCCGCGUGAGUGAUGAAGGCCUUCGGGUUGUAAAGCUCUGUGGGGCGAGACGAAUAAGUGCAGCCUAAUACGCUGCAUGAUGACGGUAUUGCCUUAGCAAGCACCGGCUAACUCUGUGCCAGCAGCCGCCGUAAGAC
rnacentral:rRNA from 1 species